rnacentral:rRNA from 1 species
GCAGCCGCGGUAAUACGUAGGUGGCGAGCGUUAUCCGGAUUUACUGGGUGUAAAGGGUGUGUAGGCGGGAAAGCAAGUCAGAUGUGAAAUAUCAAGGCUCAACCUUGAUCCUGCAUUUGAAACUGUUUUUCUUGAGUAUGGGAGAGGUAAGCGGAAUUCCCGGUGUAGCGGUGAAAUGCGUAGAUAUCGGGAAGAACACCGGUGGCGAAGGCGGCUUACUGGACCACAACUGACGCUGAGACACGAAAGCGUGGGGAGCAAACAGGAUUAGAUACCCC